rnacentral:rRNA from 1 species
UACGGAGGAUGCAAGCGUUAUCCGGAAUGAUUGGGCGUAAAGCGUCCGCAGGUGGCAAUGUAAGUCUGCUGUCAAAGCGUCUGGCUCAACCAGAUAAAGGCAGUGGAAACUACAUAGCUAGAGUACGGUAGGGGCAGAGGGAAUUUCCGGUGGAGCGGUGAAAUGCAUUGAGAUCGGAAAGAACACCAGCGGCGAAAGCACUCUGCUGGGCCGCCACUGACACUGAGAGACGAAAGCUAGGGGAGCAAAUAGG